AUUGAACGCUGGCGGCAGGCCUAACACAUGCAAGUCGAGCGGUAGAGAGAAGCUUGCUUCUCUUGAGAGCGGCGGACGGGUGAGUAAUGCCUAGGAAUCUGCCUAGUGGUGGGGGAUAACGUUCGGAAACGGACGCUAAUACCGCAUACGUCCUACGGGAGAAAGCGGGGGAUCUUCGGACCUCGCGCCAUUAGAUGAGCCUAGGUCGGAUUAGCUAGUUGGUGAGGUAAUGGCUCACCAAGGCGACGAUCCGUAACUGGUCUGAGAGGAUGAUCAGUCACACUGGAACUGAGACACGGUACAGACUCCUACGGGAGGCAGCAGUGGGGAAUAUUGGACAAUGGGCGAAAGCCUGAUCCAGCCAUGCCGCGUGUGUGAAGAAGGUCUUCGGAUUGUAAAGCACUUUAAGUUGGGAGGAAGGGUAGUAACCUAAUACGUUGCUACCUUGACGUUACCGACAGAAUAAGCACCGGCUAACUUCGUGCCAGCCGCCGCGGUAA
rnacentral:rRNA from 1 species